rnacentral:rRNA from 1 species
AAUUAUUUUUUUGUUUUAGUGGCGGACGGGUGAGUAACGCGUAAGAAUCUACCUUUAGGAGGGGGAAAACAACUGGAAACGGUUGCUAACACCCCAUAUGCUGAGGAGUAAAAUACAUUGUGCCUUGAGAUGAGCUUGCGUCUGAUUAGUUAGUUGGUAAGGUAAUUGCUUCCCAAGACUAUGAUCAGUAGCUGGUCUGAGAGGAUGAUCAGCCACACUGGGACUGAGACACGGCCCAGACUCCUACGGGAGGCAGCAGUGAGGAAUUUUCCGCAAUGGGCGAAAGCCUGACGGAGCAAUGCCGCGUGGAGGAUGAAAGCCUAUGGGUUGUAAACUCCUUUUCUCAGAGAAGAAAUUUUGACGGUAUCUGAGGAAUAAGCAUCGGCUAACUCCGUGCCAGCAGCCGCGGUAAUACGGGGGAUGCAAGUGUUAUCCGGAAUAAUUGGGCGUAAAGCGUCUGUAGGUGGUUUACCAAGUCUGUUGUUAAAAAUCAGGGCUCAACCCUGAUCCGGCAACAGAAACUAGUAGACUUGAGUACGGUAGGGGCAGAGGGAAUUCUCGGUGUAGUGGUGAAAUACGUAGAUAUCGAGAAGAACACCAAUAGCGAAAGCACUCUGCUGGGCCGAAACUGACAUUGAGAGACGAAAGCUAGGGGAGCAAAAGGGAUUAGAUACCCCUGUAGUCCUAGCCGUAAACGAUGGAUACUAAGUGCUGUGCGACUCAAAACGUCCAGUGCUGUAGCUAACGCGU